AUGACAACUUUGCAAAGACUGCUGCUUUCGUGUGCCGUUCGGGCUUUUUAUUCCCUCCCGUCUCCCCAAGGGCUGGCAUGUCGGCGAGGAUUUGGCGGAGGGGUUAACAGCCGCCCUGCGUUUCAGAGCUCGGAGCUUUGUCACUGCGUAGUUCGCCAAGUGGGGAGCGGUGACGCAGUGAUCAUUGCAGGGCACGCCGGGCGGCUUUUCAAAGCACCGGGGGGACAGGUACGCGCUGCCUUCCAGACGCUUCCACGCCAGCUGAAAGGGGUUAAGGAUGAGUCGAGACGGGAAGCCAGCGUUUGGGGAUUAAAUGUCAUCAUUUUGGCGUUGGGAAGUUGUUUACCUUGCUCUCGCCGUGUCUCCGUGCUGGCAGCCGGCCAGCUCCCAUGUGAUAGUCUUCCCUGUACUGCUGCAUCAUUAACCGGGGGCCGGGGCCGGCUCCCCAUUGGCCGGGGGAGGGCUCUCGGCCCCAAGGCGCCGCGCCAUUGGCGGAGGAGGCGCUGGCAGGUGAAAAGCCCUCGCGGAUUGGCCGAGGGCUGGGUGUCAAAUCUGAAUGUUGGCUGCGCUCGCCGCGAGCGCUGCUGCCGGCCGCCGGCUGCGGGUAGGGUGCGGGUAGGGGUAGGGGUGCGGGUGGGGGUAGGGGUGCGGGUAAUAGGUCCAGGUAUGGGUAAAGGUGCGGGUAUGGGUGCGGGUAUAGGUGUGGGUAUAGGUGCAGGUAUGGGUCUGGGUACGGGUGCGGGUAUGGGCACUGGUAUAGGUGCGGGUAUGGGUGCGGGUAUAGGUAUGGGUACGGGUACGGGUAUAGGUGCGGGUACAGCUGCGGGUAUAGGUGCGGGUACGGGUGCAGGUAUAGGUGCGGGUGUAGGUCCAGGUGUAGGUAUAGGUGCGGGUAUGCGUGCAGGUAUGGGGCCGGGCAUGGAGCCCUGCCCGCCCACACAACCCGUGUCACCCCGUGCCGGUGCCGGUGCGGUUUCACUUUGCUGCGCGGCUGUGGCGAUGACGUGUCAGAGCUGCCAAGCUCGGCCAGGGGAACUCGCUCGGGUUUGGGGCUUUUUUUUUUCUCCUUUCUUUCCUGCUUUCUCUCUUCUGUCGGUGGUAGUUGAGUGUUGGUCACACCGUGAGCCGCUCGGGGCAGGGACCGAAUGUGGCAAUCGCGUGGCGGGAUUAACGAAGCGGAAAAGGCUCCUGCCCGAACGCCGUCAUGCCGCCCGGGCGAGAGUUUGUCGGUGUGGGCGAGGCGAGGGAGCGCUGCCGGCGGCCCUGAGCCGGGGCUCCGCAAGGUCUGCAAAAGGAAACCAGAGCGUUAGGAGGCAAGAAGGCAGGCAUAAAGGAGGACUGGGACAGGCUGGGGAAGGAGGGAUAGGAGACCGCGGACAGACAGCGGCUCCAGAAAGGAUGAGGAAAUGA
rnacentral:lncRNA from 1 species